CAGGAGAGAUAAAGUACGAGAAUGGUAUAACAUGGUAUAUCUUGCCAUCAUUUCAGUAUUUGGAUGGGCUUAUAGCUUGCCACUUACAUGCAGCAUUCAGGAUUUUGCGUAUCUUUAUGAUCCAAACAAUGAGAUUGCUGGAGCGUGAAGCUGAAUCUUCUUCCAUCAUCACCAAUGCAAUCUAAUUGAUUCUGCCUUAAUUUCAUUCUCUUUAAGUACCUUUUCAUUCAAUUUUCAAUCAUGACUUUCAAUCAUCGGUUGAUUUCAUUUUAUGCAGGAGGCUCUCAGGAUAUGAAGUGUGUUGGAAUACAGUAUCUUGAAGUUGUUCGUAAGCUUAAGGAAUGGGGGUUUCAACCUAAAAGGAGUAUUCAUUUGGCUUUUGCUCCUAAUGAGGAGAUUGGUGGACAUGAUGAUUCUGAGAAGUUCUCUCUUUUUGGAGUUUUUCAGGAUUUCAAUGGCUUCCUUCUCCGGACGACCAUUAUAGGGCAUUCUAUGCAGAGAGGAGUCCGUGUGGUUGGUGAUCAAGGCUGUUGGGAUUCCUGGACAUGGAGCCAAACUUUAUGAUAACUCUGCUAUGGAGAAUCUUUUGAAGAGUAUUGAGACCAUCCAAAGGUGUAUCAUGCCUCGCAGUUCGACUUGAUAAACACCGGCUUGAAGGCUCUUGGUCGGGGAAGUAUUUUCUAUUAACCCGGUCUUUUUGAAAGCUGGAACUCCAUCACCAAUAAGGAGUCUGCCCGCCAACUAUGUUAUGCUUUUGAAAUGGAAGCGUCUGCACUCCUUCUCCGGCGAACUAUUCGCCUUUUCUGUUCCGAUUCAUCUCAAGAACAAGCAGAAAGAAGAGAUUUUCAAGAAAAUGGAAGAGGAGAAAUCCAGAAAGCGUCCCAAAUCCGGGUGGAUAUCGAUAGAAUCGUCACCGAUACAAUAGAAGUUAAGUUGAUUUUUCAUAAAUUUCUUAAUUUACAAUAUCUUUCUCUCAUUUGUUGCUAUGUUGAUUCAUUGAAUCAAUUCAUUUGUUGCUAUGUUUUCUAUAUUUGUUACAUUUUGAUUUCAUUUGCUGAUUCAGGUAUACGCCCGUACCAAUUUUAUUGUUUAAUCAUUGUUGAACAUGUUAGCUGUGAUUUUAAUCUAACUGUUUGUGUAAUUUUGCUCUAUCAAUAAUCGUAUCAUUGAGAAACUUUUCUUUGAUUAAUUAUUUGGUUUAUCAGUGCCUAAUAACUUGGUAUUGGUAUCCAUAUUUUUUCAGGUUUUCACUUGGUAGUUUAAUGAAAAUAUUAUUUACCUCUGUUUUGUUCAUUGAUGGAAUUUCUCACAGUUUGUGGUGGUCUUCCUCUUGACGAUGGAGAAAUCUGGCUGCGUUUUUUGGUGAAUGGAGUUCAGCGCGACUACGAACGAAAUUGAAGGGCAAAGGUGCAUGGGAUACUCUCUCAAAUGGAUCCAACAGUGGUUGUAUUUUGUGACAAGAUUGCAAGCCAGGGUGGCUCAGUUCAGAUAUUGGUUCUGCUUUAUAUGACUGGUCAUGCUUAUGAGCCUAAUGGGGUUGUAAUUUAUGAUGAGUAAUUUAUGAUGAUUUUGAUUUUGUCUAGGUUUUACUGAUUCAUAGAUCUGAUUUUUUAAAAUAUGAUUUUGUUUAGUUAUGUGUGAAUUUGCUGCUAUUGACUGGUAUUAAAAUAAGGCUUUAGUGUUAUCGAUUAUUAGUAGUAUGCGAUUGUCGACAGGAAUAAGAGGUAUGUUAUCAAAUAAUGCACAUUUGCUUGAUUACUAAUUAGUAUAUGAUGUAUUAUUUCUGCUGUAUUUCAAUUCAAAUGUACUCUUUUAUUUCAUGGUUUUGGAAACAAAUUAUAUAGAUGGAUCUGAAUAGAGAGGAUGAGAGAGCCAGAAUAUUUUUAAUGCGUACGUGUGAGUCAAUUUCUCAUUAAUAACAUAUAUUCCUCUCUUAAAGUGUCAAUCACUGGAGAGCCAUGCAGCUUCCGCCCCACAUUUAGAAAUCUGAUCUAAUAUUUCACUUCUUUUCCUUCUCCUCUCAUAGACUUGAGUAUUAUGAGCUUUGGAGUCUGGUCCGUAACAUAGUCAAUCAUAGAAAUGGUAUAGGUGACGUUUGAAUAACGUAGCACGAAGGGAAUCAUAUGGGGAUGGUCCAAACUCCAACUUGAGAGCUCUGGUGAAUGCAUUCCAUGUGGACUGCAGGAAUUGUUGGGGGAUGUGUGUAUCAGGAGUAGAAUAAUAGUCAAGAUAUGCUCAACUUUGAAGAGCCAAUGUAAAAUAUCAGUCCUAUAGUUUCUAAUUUAUUAUAUUGGCGGUUAUAAUUUUGAUUUCGAUUUUGUAGAGUUCUGGUAAAUCAACAGUUCCCGAAGACCUUCAACUUUCGUCAACGUUUUGCUCUCGGCAACAUCAGUGCUGGUAAAUCCUAAUUGGACAUCGAGUUUUGGAAGUGGUUCAUUCCUCAUCCUCAUAUUUCAAACUUGCAUUAUGAGCCUAAAUGACAAUUUUCCAGACCAAUGCAAGGAUCAAUCUCAAGCAGAUUGUGAAAGCAUAGUAUAUUCAUAAAGAAAUACAAACAACAUCUGAGUUAUUCAAUAUAUACUAAAUAAAUUGAAUUUCUACCUGUAUGACCAGGGAGGGCUUAAGGAAAUGGUUUCUUUCUAUUGAAAUGGUUUGUUAGCCUACAUAAUCCUCAAAUCAAGGAAGUCUCUUCAUUGGUUUUUGUUCAAACCUGCUGACAGUUAUUCCUUUCCAUUGAAAGAUAAGUUCAAUUAUCCUUUCUUGAUAACUCUAUGUGAUUCACAAGGUGAAAUCAUUCAUGAGUAUAAAUAAUUGGUUUUACUGCCAAUUAGGAAAGUUCUAUAUACUUUAGCAAUGAUUCUCUGUAUAAAGGGUGGCCAAAAUUAUAUAUUACAGUGUAUUUAGCAAUUAUGAAUUGAUGCAGUAAUUUUCUUAAUAUUGCAAUGGAGUUGCAGGUUCUAAAAUGGAUGAAUGGAAAAAUGCAGUGUCGUUUGAUUAGCCUGUAGGAUGUUGGAGCACUAAUCCAUGCAUUUGGGUUUACAUUAAAACGGACUACUGAUGCACCAAAAUAGUAUAUCGAGCUAUGAUUUGAUCCGAGUAAAUCCGUUCACUGGAACUUAAAUGCUUGUGAUCCUUCCCGUUGCGGCACGGUACGAAUCGAUGGGGAGUAAGUUGUAUUCUUCCAGUACUAUCAUCAAUUUCCAAACGGCUUGAUUGACUUAACGGCAUUAGAUAUUAUGUUGAAUUAUUAAAUUCCAUGAUUAUCACACCAUAUAUUAAGUAGUUGAUUAGAUGAAGUUUUACUAUUUCAUUUCUAUUCUCCAAGGUAAGGAUAUAUGAUUGUCGGUAUUCUUCUAAAUGCUGACAAUGAAUAUUCACGUAAUCCUUCUAAUGCCAAAAUGAAUUCCGUCCAUUUUACGGUGCACUAUUUUUCAUAAUAUUCUUUGAACAUCAUGUUUACAGGGUGGUAUUCAUAUAUUCAUAUAUUCAUAUUCUUGGUAAUGAGUUUAGUACCUAAAGGUUAAAACAAGAGCAUGUAUCUCCAAAUUUAGCCAAAAAUAAAUGUGAGCCUUUAAGCUACUGAGGGGGUGAUAUUCCAUCUUGGCAUAAAGGAUUGUCCAUGCGCCUUUAAGCUACUAAGGGGGUGAUAUUCCUUCUUGGCAUAAAGGAUUGUCCAUGCGAAGACUGUUUGAAAUUUAUGUUGACAUGUGAUGAUUGACUUAUGUUGGUUUAAUGUGUGUGUGUAAACUAUGUGUUUAUUAUACAGGUUGUUGGCUAUACCGAAGAAAGCAUCUACUAUAACACUAGCACUUUCGAAUAGCGUUUCUGUUUGGGUCGAGUAUUGGCUUUUUACAUCUGUGUUUAACGGGAUAUCGAAUUUGCGUCAAAGUAGCCAGAGAAGAAGUGGAUUGAUGGGGGUGUUCCUCUGGACGCAGUGUCAUCCAAACUUUCUAGACUUGCAAAGGUGCAGGGGAGACAUUUCAAUUUAUGGUUUAAACAAAGUAGUUCAUCAAUCAAUAGUCUAUUGAUAAUUUUUCAAGCUUUUUAUGAUUCAACAGAAAUAAUGUUUUGAAAUCCAUAGACCCAUUUAUAACCAUUUUAAAUAUUUUGAAAUAAUAUUUAGUUAUUUAUUAUAUCUUUAGAAGAUUUAACAUAAGAGAACUUUGAGAAGUUGUGGUGCAUGUUGUACCCUGUAGUGUGUGUAAUAUCCAGGGACUGGGUAAACCCUAUAUGGAAUUCCUUUUCACCUAAAUGGAUUGAAGGGUUCAUCACCAAAGAGAAUGCAGAAGCUUCACUUCAAGGUCCAGCAGGAUUUCAAGAACCUGGUACUUUUAUAUUGCGGGGUCCAACCUCAAGAAGCUGGCCUCACCCAGAUGUUGGUAGCCUGACUAUUACUUAUGUUAGCAGUGACUACAAACUUUGCCACAAACUACUUUCAAUGGAUCAUAUUUAUAGGUAAGGUUUUCAUCUUUUUUAUUGAAUCCAUUGGUUGGAUUUUCCUUAGUCAUGAGCAUAUCAUUCUCGGGUGGAGUUGAUGAUCUGUCCACGAGACUUAUGUCUUCUUUCAUGUAUCAUGUAUCAUGCAUUUCUGAUAUGUCAUAGAUGGAGAGUGUAUAAAUAUAAAUAAAUGAUGCCUUUAGAGAUUGAACUCUAGACCAACAAUUUAUAUGUUAGAUCAAACUGUUUUUCCUUAACUAAAAUAUUAAUCAUAUUUGUUGUUUCCAUAGCUCCGAUAAAACUGGCGUGAAACCAUUGCAAGAUAUGCUACUGGCAGACCCUGAGCUGACUCGGUUGGGAAGAUAAUUUGCAAAGCAAAUUUAUUGUUGUUUCUUAUAUGCAUUAAACUAAAUGCGUAACAUUUCAUUACUAUUAAUUGUUUUUUCCAUCAUUGGCAAUUAAUUCUUCAGGGCAAUGAGAAGGUAUCAAGCACGCUGAUGUUAUGGUAGAUUGUCAUUAAAUAUCCAGUCAAAGUUGUUUUUCAAGGUUCUAUUGCAAUUAUUGACUCAAAAAGGAGGAUAUAUGUAAAAAAUACUUUAGUAGUUAUAGAACAUAAAAUGUUAGCAUAUAAAGUUGAAAUAUUGAUAUUAAUAUUUUUAUAACUUUACCCAUUUUAACCAAAAUUUAGUCUUUUACUAAUACUUUGUAUUUUUCUCAAUCACAAUGCGCGAAAACGACGGGUACCCGUGCGAACGCACGGGUAAGACACUAGUUUCUAACUAAAAUGUUAUUCGAAACAAUUUAAAUAUUACUCGUACGAGACUUAUGCACAAUGCACAAGGAUAUACCUUAUGCACAUCAACCUGACUCUUAAAUCACCUAUUUAAUAUUAUAAAUAGUAAGCGGUAUCUAGCAACACAUCACUGCUACCCAAGUGACGAGAAUGUCGUGUGAUCUGACAUAACCUUUCCGUGAUAAUGAUUAUGUGUAAAAUUACCUUUUACCCCUAAUAUCUAUAUUGAACACAAGGCAUAUAAUGUUUCACCCUUGUA